AAAGAAGGAGAGGCUGUUUCUACAGGGUGUCACAGGAAAAUCGAUGCUGAGCCACGGAUUAUUGGAUCCCACAGAACCGUGGAGACUCGGCAGUGAAAUUCUUCCAAAGG
rnacentral:lncRNA from 1 species